rnacentral:rRNA from 1 species
GAUGAACGCUGGCGGCGUGCCUAAUACAUGCAAGUCGAGCGAACACACGAGGAGCUUGCUCCUCUGACGUUAGCGCCGGACGGGUGAGUAACACGUGGAUAACAUACCUAUAAGACUGGGAUACCUUCGGGAAACCAGAGCUUAUACCGGAUAAUAUAUCGCACCGCAUGGUUCAAUAGUGAAAGACGGUUUUGCUGUCACUUAUAGAUGGCUACGCGCCGCAUGAGCUAGUUGGUAAGGUAACGGCUUACCAAGGCAACGAUGCGUAGCCGACCUGAGAGCGUGAACAGCCACACGGGAACUGAGACACAGUCCAGACUCCGACGGGAGGCAACAGUCGGGAAUCUUCCGCAAUGGGCGAAAGGCUGACGGAGCAACGCCGCGUGAGUGAUGAAGGUCUUCUGAUCGUAAAGCUCUGAUAGUAGUGAAGAACAAAUGUGUAAGUAACUAUGCACGUCUUGACGGUACCGAAUCAGAAAGCCACGGCUAACUACGUG